rnacentral:rRNA from 1 species
AACGAACGCUGGCGGCAGGCCUAACACAUGCAAGUCGAACGCCCUCUUCGGAGGGAGUGGCAGACGGGUGAGUAACGCGUGGGAAUCUACCUAGUGGUGGAGGAUAACUUCGGGAAACCGGAGCUAAUACUCCAUAAGCCCUUCGGGGGAAAGUUUUUUCGCCAUUAGAUGAGCCCGCGUUAGAUUAGCUUGUUGGUAGGGUAAUGGCCUACCAAGGCGACGAUCUAUAGCUGGUCUGAGAGGAUGAUCAGCCACACUGGAACUGAGACACGGUCCAGACUCCUACGGGAGGCAGCAGUGGGGAAUAUUGCACAAUGGGCGCAAGCCUGAUGCAGCCAUGCCGCGUGUGUGAUGAAGGCCUUAGGGUUGUAAAACACUUUCAUCGGUGAAGAUAAUGACGGUAGCCGAAGAAGAAGCCCCGGCUAACUCCGUGCCAGCAGCCGCGGUAA